rnacentral:rRNA from 1 species
AGGUAGCAUAAUCAUUUGCUUCUUAAUUAGGAGCUGGAAUGAAAGAGGUGACGAAAUCUAGACUUUUUUAGUACUUGACUAAUUUGACAUGGAGGUCAAAAGGCCUAAAUAUAUCAAAGGGACGAUAAGACCCUAUAAAACUUUACUUUUUGUUUUAGACGCGCUGGGCAGCUUACUAAAGGAUAAAGUUUUACUGGGGCGGUAUUAAUAAAAACAAUUAAAUAUGGAAUAUAAUAAAUAAAAAUAAAGAACUCUGGUGAGAAAUAGAACAAGUUACUUUAGGGAUAACAGCGUAAUUUUCUCAGAGAGUCCUAAUUGGCGAGAGAGUUUACGACCUCGAUGUUGAAUUGGGAUACCUUGUGUAAGCAAAAAUACACUAAGAUAGUCUGUUCGACUAUUAAACUUCC